rnacentral:tRNA from 1 species
GUAGUUGAUGUGCAACGGGUGUUUUGACACUUUUUCUGCACCAAAGUAUGGAUUUAGCGACAACAACUUCGGAUUGAAAAUCCGCGUGUCACUGGUUCGAUUCCGGUCCUGGGCACCA